rnacentral:lncRNA from 1 species
CCAAUCUUUUAUAAAAUUUUAAUGUUGAAUUUCAGUGGUCGUCCUUCUUCUCCGAUAUUCUUUCAAUUCUUCAACUUGGACCUGCUGCCAUGGAUAUUUUCUUGAGAAUUCUUAAAACAAUUGACCAAGAAGUGAUCAAUAGGGAGGUUCAGCAGUCUGCAAAGGUAUUAAUAUAAUUAAUAUCAGGAUUCUGGGCAUCUACACUCGAUAUAACUAAUUGUGGAAGGAUUUUGUAGAUGGAAAUUUCUUGACCUGAACAGGAGCAGUUGCAAAAGAUACAACUUUAUAUGAGCCCGCUGGCGGGAGUCGAACCUGCGAUUCCACUGCAGAGGGCCUAUAGUUCUAGUGGCGGACACUUUAUGAAAUAAUGGGGGGGGGGGGUCUCGUGUCGAAGGCACGGAAAAAUUUUAAAAUUUGGAUCCCGGAAAUGGCAUUUGCAGCAUUCUGAGAACACAUUUUGUAAAAAACUAAGUUUUCAAAACACUGUUUUAAUGGUGCAUUUAGUUAUAAAUCACAUGCUAAGCAUAGAAAACCAACAUUUCAGAAAAACAUAUUUACAUGAUUAUUAACAUUUGUGAAUGGAAUUGCAAGGUGGUUUAGUUUGAUUAACACGCCAAUGAUUGACACGCCAGUUUAAUACGCAUUCAAAUAUUAUUGUGCAGCAGAAAAUUUCGCUGCUAAACAAUAGUAUAAGCUUCAAAAACAACAAAAAAUCGACAAUGACAUUUACUGUCGUUCCAAUUGAAGUGUUGCUCAAAUAUUGAUUCAAUACAUGACCUCGGGCUGACCAAUUCAUUUGAUCAAGUUCCUCGAGAUAUUCAUACACUUCCUGUGAAAGAACCAAUUCCAAGUAUUUGAUCAUUUCUGGUCACUUCCUUUCUAUGUAUGAUUGGUUAGUUGCACAAACAACAAAGGUCAUUGGUGCAUUCAAACUAUUCAACAGGAAGUUUACAAUUAUACUAGGAAGUGUAUGAAUAUCUCGAGGAACUUGAUGAAAUGAAUUGGCCAGCCCGAGGUAAUGUAUUGAAUCAAUAUUUNNNNNNNNNNNNNNNNNNNNCCCCCCCCCCCCCCCCCCCCCCCCCCCAGUGUCCGCCACUGUAUAGUUCGCAACUGCUCCUGGUUAAUUCUAAUAAAUGUAUUUCAAACACUCAUUAAUAAUUCAUAAGCUUAUUGGCCAAUCAUGUCAACCAUAGUAUGUCACGUGAAGAGACUUUAUACCUGAUAAAAGUCAUCUUCAUUAGUAUUCUUUAUAUAAAAGUCCAUUCUAAUUAGUAUUUUUUAUAUAAAGAAUACUAAUGAAACGGUAUCUAUUUUUAGUUGUGUUUGAAGAUAUUCAAAACACUUGUAGUCGUGUUUUAUCGUAUCUAAAAUGCCGUGCUGCGCACUCGCAUUUAUAUAUGAUAAGACACUCCUACGCGUGUUUUAAAUAGUACAAAAUUCACACUCGAAUUGCACCUGGAAGCUAAGCUGAAUGGACCAUUUGCAUUAUAGACUAAAUUUUGAUCUUGACAAAAAUUUCAUCACAGCUUAAAGAGCAUCACAAAAUUAGUAAUAUUCCAAAGUUUCGUUGCGAAAUGUUGUAAAAUGCGGAUAAUAUAGCCUUGCGAAAUUUGCAAUUUUCAGUCAUUUUGUAUUACAAACGGGAAAUUGAUGCCCCAACACCCGAUUGGNNNNNNNNNNNNNNNNNNNNGAAACUUUGGAAUAUCACUAAUUUUGUGAUGCUCUUUCAAGCUGUGAUGAAAUUUUUGUCUAGAUCAAAAUUUAGUCUAUAAUGCAAAUGGUCCAUUGCGAAGGACGCAGCUCAACCUGAUCGAGUCUUUCUGGGGCACCUCUGGCUGUUACCUUAUGACUUGUGUCUGAUCACGGAGUACAGCUACGGGCUAAUUCCAACCCACCCUGUCAACAUUCCCUUUGGGCGUAAAAAAAAAUACCUGUGGUUCCGGUUUCAUAUCGUGAAAAAAUUAGGGUCGGUAGGUCGGAAAUAAUUUUUUUUUUUUUAUAUUUUUUCCUGGUUUUAGCGUUUUUUCUUGCUGGGCGAUUUGCAGUAGAGUGCCGACAUCGAUAUCAACUAGAGAUGCGUAUUUCCUACGGGCGAAUUUAGGCAAUUUGGUUCAAUAAUUAGUGUGACAACAGACGCCAUUUUGGCACGCUGUAUGAGCUGCCCGCAACCACCUGGAGAAAAUAGGGUCGCACGGUCAAUCGCGUUGAAAAAAUAAUAGGGUCGGCAGAAAAAAAUAGGGUCGGUCGGGAACCUGAACCACAGGUAUUUUUUUACGCCUUGGGAGAAGACCGGAGUACGUGGAAAACUCCACCAAUCUCGGUCUUUUGACACAAGUGUUACGAGUCCGUAGCGACAGUCGAACCCUCGAUCUGAGAGGUGAAAGUCGCUUGUUUUGAGGAUUGCGCCACCGAAGCCCCGCUGUGUGAAGUGCGCUGAUUUAUAGAGUAGAAAAACUUGCAAAGAUCUUUAGACUCAAUCAAAGUAGGGCGUUUGCAACUUUCCUCAAUCGCUGGUUGCAAAACAAAGCUGAACAGUACUUUUGAUGUAGACCGUCCUAGAACAUGGAAAACUGUAUGCAGUAAAUGUCGUUCUUUACAUACAAUCUGUUGUUCAUAGAUGUAAUUAUAAUUGUUGUAUGUCCUAAUGUUUAUGUAUAUAAUAUGUAUUCUUGUAAUGCCUAUAAGUAAUUAUGUAAUGUACGUUAAUUUGGUGGGACUUAAUUAGGGACUCACGUCCUGUCGUCCUUACCAUCGGUCAUUUGAUUGUAAAGUUAAUAAAAAAAAAUAAAUAAAUAAAAAAAAGUCUGUCGAAGUAUUUAGUGUAAUGUUGGCCUGGUUUCAUCAGCUUAUUCGGCAUUUUCGAGGAUGGAUUUUACGUACGACAUUUGUCUAUUAACUCUGUAUAAGAGAACCGCACUACUAGGAACAAAUUAACGAAAAUGCUGAAUAGGCAAUAACUUAAACCAGACAAUCAUCACACCAAAUGUUUCCACAAACUUAUGUUGUGCGACCGGCAAUUGAGGCAAGUUGCAAACGACCUAUAAUAUACUUUAUUUUUCACCCUGCUCUGUUUCCUUUGUUCUUAUCGGGGAAUAUAUUCAAUAUUUCACUCUAUUCAAUUUCCGUUUAAUAAUCCCCUCUAAUAUUCACCUGCAAUUAAUAAUCCCCUCUAAUAUUCACCUGCAAUGUCUUAGCAGCACAAAAAAAUGAGAAAAAAACAACAUAACGAAGGCAAUAUGACAUUAAGAAUUAUUUCUAUUCUUACUCAUUAAUGCGACCUCGCAGUGUGAAAAAUAAGUACGUUAUUUUGAGGCACCUCGGGGAUAUGUGUUUAUUCACCUCGGCGCUAUGCGCCUCGGUGAAUAAAUCGCAUAUCCCCUCGUUGCCUCAAAAUAACCUAUACAUAUUCUCUGAUUUUGCUAUUUACAGCAUCGUGCAAUAUAAUUCACUGUUUACUGCAGAAUGAUAUCUCCCAAAUGUUCUUUUACAGGAUGCCCAACGAAGUACUCUCGUCAAAGAUACAAUGCGUGUUCAAUGUGUAAAUGAUUUAGUGGAAGCGUGGUACAAGAUUUUGGUAAGCUAAAUCCUAAUUCACGUGGGACAUUUUGAUUGGGUAUUAAAUAUAAACUUAACUUUGGGCGGAGAGCGACCAGAUUAGGGUUUGUGUCACAUGAUGCAUGAUUUAGGGUGUAUUAUCAAGUAUAUACUCGGGUUACAGGUGUUACACUAAUCUUUAUUUAGGGUUAUGGUUAGGGGUGGGGUUAGGGUUAGUGUGUGUAACACUAUGUAACACGGUGGGGUUAGGGGUGGGUUUAGGGGUAGGGUUAGGGGUAGGGUUAGUGUGUGUAAAACUAUGUAACACGGUGGGGUUAGGAUGGGGUUAGGGGUAGGGUUAGUGUGUGUAACACUAUGUAACACUAUGUAACAAUGUCAACACUAUGUAGCACUGUGUUCUAUGUAACAAUGUGUAACACUAUGUAACACUGUGUAACACUAUGUGAAUAUGCAACAUUGUUUAACACUGUGUAACACUUGUAACAGUGUUACAACUGGGUGCCAUAAUAAAGCCACCCUAAAUCGUGCAUAGUAUAUUGUGUCAGGCUCUAUUUGUAAGCCCUUUUUGUCACAAAUCAAACCAUGAAACAAUUUCGGAUGUCCAGUGGCAUAGCCAGGGUCUAGACUUGGGGGGGGGGGGGGAUAUGUAUGGCAUUUGAAAUGCGAGCGUCAAAGUCGCGCGAAAUCUAGGGGGUUCGGGGGCUUGCUCCCCUGAGAAAAUUUUUGAAUUUUUAAAUUCAUUACAACGCUACUGUAUUUCACGUAUUUAGGACAAGGUUUGAAGAAAAGUUACUAACUACCACAAAAAGCCACUUUAAGCCGCCUAACAAAAUAGCACGAUAUCUUCGUUUUUGGAGAGGAAAUUCUAUUGUAAAAAAUAAUGAACUUUGACAUGCUGUUAUGUGCGCAAAUUCAAGUUCAAAUUUGCUUUCAACCACCAUAGACUUAUUUUACUGGAGUUAGGAUUCUAGAUAGGGAACACUACAACUUUUAUCGGCAAACAGAAGAGAUGGGAAUCAUUAUUCACACAUCGUCCCCCAGUUCUGUCCGGUUUUUAGCUUUUCAGAAGGGCAGUUACGUUAAUCUUACGGCCGAUUAUUUUGCCGAUGAUCGUGCAAUAAUCGGCCGACUACCGAUCAUUUCCAAACAGCCGAUUAUUUCUCGAUUAAACGACUCAUCUCUAAAUUAUUUUUAAAAUUUUAGUUAUUGACAUUGAAAGUUUUGUUGCGAGAAUAAUGCCUAAAUCAUCCUGCCUACGAUAUCUUUUGCGAACCAUUUUCACUUGUUCUUCACAAAUAUUAGCAGGCCCAGUCAUAAGGACAUACUCCCAUGCAGUAUUGUAUCAUUUUGCUUUAAAUUUGAAUUUGAAUUUAAUAAUUUGCCACAAAAAAUAUUCAUAAUUACUUUAAUAUAGUUACAGAAGUGGCGAGGAAACCCAAAUGAAAACCAUAAGGCUUAUAAGGACUUUGGGAUCCUCCUGACUAAAACACACAGCAAACGUGUAUAAUAAAGUGACAGAAAUUAGACGUACAUAUAAAUGACUAUAACACUAAAGGCAUACAGUACAACUAUAAUACAGAAAAAUUUACGAGAUACUGGAUAAGUACAUUUUUAAUUUAGACUGGAACAAGGAAACAGUUGAGGCAUCACAAAUAUCUGGACUUAAUGAAUUAAAAAAUAAGGGACCUUGAUAACUUGCGGAAAACUGUCGAAUUUUGGUUCUACAAGUAGGAAUAUAAUAUUGUUUGGAUCUGCAUGUGUUGUGUGUAUGAAUUUGAUUGAUUUUUAUAAAUGAGUUAUCAAAAGUUAGAGGAAGUAAAUUAUUAUUGUAUUUGUACAUAAAUGUGCCUAAUUGAAGUAAGUAGACAUCGGUAAAUUUCAAAAUGCAUAAUUUCUGAAAAAUGGGGUCAGUGUGUGCAUCAAAUGCCUCCUUACUAAUAACUCUAAUAACACGCUUUUGAAUUAAGACAAUACGAUAUAAAUUAGAAGGAUAAGUUGAACCCCAAACUGUAAUACAAUUAUAUUGCACAUAAGGGUAUACGAGAGCAUAAUAGAGCAAAUGUAAUGCUGAUUUAGAAAGGCAAAAACUUGACUUGUGUAUAAUUCCUACUGACUUGGAAAUUUUACUAGCAACGUGCGAAAUAUGAGGUUUCCACGUCAUACGUUCGUCUAAUAUUACCCAGAAGCAUAACCUCCUUUACUUGGUCAAUCUUAUGGCCAUUUAAUUCUAAUGGUAAGUCAAGAAUUUGCCUUUUUUGACGUGGUCUAAAAAUCAUAUAAUUAGAUUUUUUAGCAUUGAUUGAUAAUUUAUUAGCCCUGAACCAUUCAGAUAACUUGUUCAUUUCAGAGUGACGUAGAAAAUGUUCAAGGUCAUGUGAUGUGUUUGUGUUUGGACGUGAUUGGGAGAUAUGUAUCUUGGAUUGAUAUCAAUUUGAUUGCAAAUGAUAAAUUUAUAAGGUAAACAUACCGAAGCAUGUAUUGGGUAAGAUGCCAAUUAUUCGACUUUUGAGGCGUAUAGCCAUUUCGUAUACCGUAGACAAUUUACGGACGGAUUUACUUCAGAAAGCGAAUAAUUUUCUCGCACAUUAAAAAAAAAACAUUUCGUCCAAUCCAUUGAUCAGAGAACUAGGCUGGAUAUAGAGUCUCUAUCCUUUCAAUGAGGCAAUUUUGAAAUGAUUAUUAUCUGUCUAUCUGUUCAUGCAGAUACAGCCGAAUGUAAACAUAAAAUGUAAACACAAGCGUGCAAAGGAUC